rnacentral:rRNA from 1 species
UACGUAGGGUGCAAGCGUUGUCCGGAAUUAUUGGGCGUAAAGAGCGUGUAGGCGGCCAGGUAGGUCUGCUGUGAAAACUCGAGGCUUAACCUCGAGAUGUCGGCGGAAACCAUCUGGCUAGAGUCCGGAAGAGGAGAGUGGAAUUCCUGGUGUAGCGGUGAAAUGCGCAGAUAUCAGGAAGAACACCCGUGGCGAAGGCGGCUCUCUGGGACGGCACUGACGCUGAGACGCGAAAGCGUGGGGAGUGAACAGG